UCAGUUGGGGACACUUAAUUUCUAGCGAUUAUCGCCGAUUUGAUUGCACAGAUACUAUUUAAACUAAACUGAGCUAGACAAUGACAUCUCUGAAUUCAAUAAUGAAAUGCCUUUAACUGAAAAUUGAGUGUUUAAUCUUAUCAUUAUACAUUACUGACACUCUAUCCUCCAAUUUGAUACUGUUAAGUGCUUUGACACAAUCUGUAUUGUAAAAGCGCUAUAUAAAUAAAGGUGACUUGACUUGACUUGAAGACAUGAAGUUUUGGUGGGUGAUUGGCAUACUAGUCAAAUAACAGUCUGAUCAUGAAUUGCUAGUGGUGAUCAGGUGUCUUCAAUAACUCAGAUUUGGGGGCCUGGAAACACAAGCUUUUGAACACGAUGCCUGUAUCAUCUCCAUGUGAACAACAAAAACAUGAAUUUGUGAAAAAGUGUAAGUCGCAUCCUACAGAAACAUAACUUCAGAAUGAAGCAGCUGUACAAGGGUGCCAUUUGAGAGGAACAGUGUCAGAUUAUGUCAGAACCAUGAUCAUGUGCAGACAGUUCUGGAUUUUGAUGCCAGCGAACUGCCACAUGAGUUCAUCUAAGUGGAUGAGGCAGGCUUCAAUCUGACCAAAACCAGGCACUGGGGCCGUAACGUAGUUGGACAAAGGGCUGUUGUAAAUGUCCCUGUGCAGCGUAGGGGAAAUAUCACCUUGUGUGCUACAAUUAGUGUCCAAGGAGUCCUGCAUCACCAUCCCACUCUAGGUCCCUACAAUACAGGACAGAUCAUUGCAUUUCUAGAUGCACUACAUGCAGUUGUGCAGGACAGACCACAGCAGUUUGUUGUCAUCUGGGAUAAUGUUAGUUUCCACCGGGCUGCUCUGGUCCGAGAUUGGUUCAACAACCAUAACCAUUUCACACUUUUAUAUCUGCCCCCUUACAGCCCCUUUCUAAAUGCAAUCGAGGAAUUCUUUUCUGCAUGGUGGUGGAAAGUAUAUGAUCGGCAACCACACGCCCACAAGACUCUUCUGCAAGCAAUGGAAGAGGCACGCGGAGACAUUGAGGUGGGAUCAAUCCAAGGGAGGAUUCGGCACACAAGGCGAUAUUUUCCCCGAUGCCUUGCCCGCGAGGACAUCGCCUGUGAUGUUGACGAGGUCUUCUGGCCAGAUCCGAACAGAAGGCGGGAUCCAUAAGCCCCCAGCCCCCAGCCCCACCACACACACACACACACGUUUGUUUUUGUGAAAAGUGGGGACUCUCUAUAGACGUAAUGGUUUUUAUACUGUACUUACUGUAUGUGCUAUUGUCCUACACCAACCCUACACCUAAACCUACCCCUUACAGGAGACUUUCUGCUAUUUCAGAUUUUCAAUACACGCCAUUCUGUGUGAUUUAUAAGCGUUUUGAAAAGUGGGCACAUGGGGUAAUGUCCUGAAAAGUCACCUUCUCCUUGUAAUACCUGUCAUACCCUUGUCAUUAUAAAAAAUCUAUGUCCUCAUUUGUCACAAAAACGUGCGCGCGCACACACACAAAACAAGUAUAUGUUUUUUUUCCCCCCAAUACCAAUUUAUCCAGUAAUUGUUUUGUUUUUUUACUUUUGUUUUGUUGCUAAAUUUGAUGAUUUGUGAUUCUAUUUUUCUUUAUUUCUGUA